AACAGUUUCAUUUUUAUAUAUAUAGAUUGGAACGAUACAGAGAAGAUUAGCAUGGCCCCUGCGCAAGGAUGACACGCAAAAUCGUGAAGCGUUCCACAUUUUU
rnacentral:snRNA from 1 species